AUUACUGCAGCAGUGUAGAAAAUAAGAGCCCUGGGAGUUCAGGAAGGGGGUUGGUAGACACACGUGAGGUCUGCACAAGGUGUGUUGGAAACUGCCCUCCUGAUUCAAAGUUGGAUUUAAAGUUUUGCAAGACUAGAAACACAUAUUAUGAUGUGAACCUGUAUCCUAAUUUGCAGUUAGGUUCCAUCCCCAUAUGAUUCUGAAAAGUCUUGUGGAUACUCCAGAUAGGGUCUUGCGAUACCUUUCCAUGAUGGUUCUCUGUUUCUCAUGAAAAAACGUCUGUCCUACUCAUGGGAAAACUCAGAGGAGAUCAGAGAUCUGACAUGUAGUUUCACCAGGCACUGACCCAAGGAGAGGAAGCACUGAGGCAUCUCGUCUUUAGCAAAACACUUUGGAAGACUUCUACAGGGGAGAUCCUGAUCCUAUCCUGCCCCGAGGUGGUUUUCCUGAUGUCGCCCCUUCCCCCAGUGCUCACCUUUUCAGCGCCAGAGGACGCCCGGCAUUGAAAAGAAUGUGAUCUCUCCGAAUUUCUGGUUUGAAAACUGGAAAUGUGGACCUUAAAGUUACCAGUAGUGGCUUUUUGCCACCCCUGGUAAUUCGUUGGACGCUGCCCUUUGAGGCAAGUUUCUAAACUCACCGCAGCGCCCAUAAAAUAUGUUACUCCACCUGUUAUCUAUUAAGAUAACAUUUGAAUAGAUAUGCAAUUAACUCACCUGCUUUUUAUCAUUCACCUUUUAUUAAACUGUUCAAAAUAAACAUUAAAUAGGUAAACUAAUCAAUGAAAAAACUCCAAAAAAAACUCAAAAAGAAAAUUUUUUCAAAUGAAUCAAUUAAGUAAAAAAAUAAACAUAUACUAUACAUAAUUGAUUCUGUCAAUAAUUGCUUUACAUUCUUACCUAAUAUAUUGUUAUUUUUUCAGUUUAAUUUGAACCCACAAAGUUACAAAUCAGUUUGGAUCUUUAU